rnacentral:lncRNA from 1 species
CUUAAGAUAACCCUGUGAAGGCUGAGAUUGAGAUGUGUUCAUGUGUGGAUGUGAUGGAACUGAGGUCGCUAGGUUCAUGCUACCUGGAACAUGAGACGACAAAUAGAGGAGCACUGAGUCAAAUGAAUCUCGGAGAAAUGGAGCUGGAAGAAAACUGGAAAUUUCAUUCUUGUUGCCCAGGCUGGAGUGCAAUGGCGUGAUCUUGGCUCACUGCAACCUUGACCUCCUAGGUUCAAGUGAUUCUCCUGUCUCAGUCUCCUGAGUAGCUAGUAUUACAGGCAUGCACCACUAUGCCCGGCAAAUUUUGUAUUUUUAGUUGAGAUGGGGUUUCUUCAUGUUGGUCAGGCUGGUCUCAAACUCCCAACCUCAGGUGAUCCACCUGCCUCAGCCUCCCAAAGUGCUGGGAUUACAGGUGUGAGCCGCCGUGCCCUGCUGAAACUUAUUUGUUUGAACAAUAAAAGCCACAUAUUUCCUC